rnacentral:rRNA from 1 species
AGAACGAACGCUGGCGGCAGGCCUAACACAUGCAAGUCGAACGUGAGGCCACCUUCGGGUGGUGGAAAGUGACAGACGGGUGAGUAACGCGUGGGAAUCUACCCAAUGGUACGGAAUAACUCAGGGAAACUUGAGCUAAUACCGUAUGUGCCCGAAAGGGGAAAGAUUUAUCGCCAUUGGAUGAGCCCGCGUCUGAUUAGCUAGUUGGUGGGGUAAUGGCCCACCAAGGCGACGAUCAGUAGCUGGUCUGAGAGGAUGAUCAGCCACACUGGGACUGAGACACGGCCCCCGACUCCUUCGGGAGGCAGCAAUGAGGAAUAUUGCGCAAUGGGGGAAACCCUGACGCAGCGACGCCGCGUGGGUGAGGAAGUCCUUCGGGAUGUAAAGCCCUUUUCUCGGGGAAGAGCACGGACGGUACCCGAGGAAUAAGCCCCGGCUAACUACGUGCCAGCAGCCGC